rnacentral:rRNA from 1 species
CCUACGUGUGGCAGCAGUGGGGAAUAUUGCGCAAUGGGCGAAAGCCUGACGCAGCGACGCCGCGUGAGGGAUGAAGGCCUUCGGAUCGUAAACCUCUGUCAGCAGGGAAGAACGGUCACUGUGCUAAUCAGCAGUGAAUUGACGGUACCUGCAAAGGAAGCACCGGCUAACUCCGUGCCAGCAGCCGCGGUAAUACGGAGGGUGCGAGCGUUAAUCGGAAUUACUGGGCGUAAAGCGCUCGUAGGCGGUAUGUCAAGUCAAGGGUGAAAUCCCCGCGCUCAACGUGGGAACUGCCUUUGAAACUGGCAAACUGGAGUGUGUGAGAGGAUAGUGGAAGUCCAGGUGUAGGAGUGAAAUCCGUAGAUAUCUGGAGGAACAUCAGUGGCGAAGGCGACUAUCUGGCACAUAACUGACGCUGAGGAGCGAAAGCGUGGGUAGCAAACAGGAUUAGAUACCCUAGUAGUC